rnacentral:rRNA from 1 species
ACUCAAAUGAAUUGACGGGGGCCCGCACAAGCGGCGGAGCAUGUGGAUUAAUUCGAUGCAACGCGAAGAACCUUACCUGGGUUUGACAUGCACCAGACAGGCGUAGAGAUACGUCCUCCCUUGUGGUUGGUGUGCAGGUGGUGCAUGGCUGUCGUCAGCUCGUGUCGUGAGAUGUUGGGUUAAGUCCCGCAACGAGCGCAACCCUUGUCCCAUGUUGCCAGCGGGUUAUGCCGGGGACUCAUGGGAGACUGCCGGGGUCAACUCGGAGGAAGGUGGGGAUGACGUCAAGUCAUCAUGCCCCUUAUGUCCAGGGCUUCACACAUGCUACAAUGGCCGGUACAGAGGGCUGCGAAGCCGCGAGGUGGAGCGAAUCUCUUAAAGCCGGUCUCAGUUCGGAUCGGGGUCUGCAACUCGACCCCGUGAAGUCGGAGUCGCUAGUAAUCGCAGAUCAGCAACGCUGCGGUGAAUACGUUCCCGGGCCUUGUACACACCGCCCGU